rnacentral:tRNA from 1 species
GGAGAGUUGGCAGAGUGGUCGAAUGCGGUAGUCUUGAAAACUAUUGUGCCGCAAGGUACCGGGGGUUCGAAUCCCUCACUCUCCG